rnacentral:rRNA from 1 species
CGCUUAGAAGUGAGAAUGCCGGUGUGAGUAGCGAAAGACGGGUGAGAAUCCCGUCCACCGAUUGACUAAGGUUUCCAGAGGAAGGCUCGUCCGCUCUGGGUUAGUCGGGUCCUAAGCUGAGGCCGACAGGCGUAGGCGAUGGAUAACAGGUUGAUAUUCCUGUACCACCUAUAAUCGUUUUAAUCGAUGGGGGGACGCAGUAGGAUAGGCGAAGCGUGCGAUUGGAUUGCACGUCUAAGCAGUAAGGCUGAGUAUUAGGCAAAUCCGGUACUCGUUAAGGCUGAGCUGUGAUGGGGAGAAGACAUUGUGUCUUCGAGUCGUUGAUUUCACACUGCCGAGAAAAGCCUCUAGAUAGAAAAUAGGUGCCCGUACCGCAAACCGACACAGGUAGUCAAGAUGAGAAUUCUAAGGUGAGCGAGCGAACUCUCGUUAAGGAACUCGGCAAAAUGACCCCGUAACUUCGGGAGAAGGGGUGCUCUUUAGGGUUAACGCCCAGAAGAGCCGCAGUGAAUAGGCCCAAGCGACUGUUUAUCAAAAACACAGGUCUCUGCUAAACCGUAAGGUGAUGUAUAGGGGCUGACGCCUGCCCGGUGCUGGAAGGUUAAGAGGAGUGGUUAGCUUCUGCGAAGCUACGAAUCGAAGCCCCAGUAAACGGCGGCCGUAACUAUAACGGUCCUAAGGUAGCGAAAUUCCUUGUCGGGUAAGUUCCGACCCGCACGAAAGGCGUAACGAUUUGGGCACUGUCUCAACGAGAGACUCGGUGAAAUCAUAGUACCUGUGAAGAUGCAGGUUACCCGCGACAGGACGGAAAGACCCCGUGGAGCUUUACUGUAGCCUGAUAUUGAAAUUCGGCACAGCUUGUACAGGAUAGGUAGGAGCCUUUGAAACGUGAGCGCUAGCUUACGUGGAGGCGCUGGUGGGAUACUACCCUAGCUGUGUUGGCUUUCUAACCCGCACCACUUAUCGUGGUGGGAGACAGUGUCAGGCGGGCAGUUUGACUGGGGCGGUCGCCUCCUAAAAGGUAACGGAGGCGCUCAAAGGUUCCCUCAGAAUGGUUGGAAAUCAUUCAUAGAGUGUAAAGGCAUAAGGGAGCUUGACUGCGAGACCUACAAGUCGAGCAGGGUCGAAAGACGGACUUAGUGAUCCGGUGGUUCCGCAUGGAAGGGCCAUCGCUCAACGGAUAAAAGCUACCCCGGGGAUAACAGGCUUAUCUCCCCCAAGAGUUCACAUCGACGGGGAGGUUUGGCACCUCGAUGUCGGCUCAUCGCAUCCUGGGGCUGUAGUCGGUCCCAAGGGUUGGGCUGUUCGCCCAUUAAAGCGGUACGCGAGCUGGGUUCAGAACGUCGUGAGACAGUUCGGUCCCUAUCCGUCGUGGGCGUAGGAAAUUUGAGAGGAGCUGUCCUUAGUACGAGAGGACCGGGAUGGACAUACCUCUGGUGUACCAGUUGUCGUGCCAACGGCAUAGCUGGGUAGCUAUGUGUGGACGGGAUAAGUGCUGAAAGCAUCUAAGCAUGAAGCCCCCCUCAAGAUGAGAUUUCCC